AUGCAGCUUUCCAUUUAUACCCCUUAUAAUUUAUUGUAUUUCCAUUUUUAUCCUCUGUAAACCCUAGCAAUAUAUACCGUUGUUCCCUCCUCAAAUUUUCAAGCUUGCGCCUCCUGCUUCUACACCCUUCCAAUUUCAGUGUUUGUGGUCCGAUUUCUGUCGAGAUGGCAAACUCUCCGGCGCCGGCACUGUCCAUGGAAACUGUGAGAACCCAAUUCAGUUUGGAAGAUCCUGGGAGCCAACAAAUGAUCAAUGAUCACUUGUGACGAAACCGCAAGAGGAAAGGAGACCGAAAAGGAGACCGCACGAGGAGAAGCUGGACUGAUCGAGAGGAAGAGACACUUGUUAUAGCACUGAAGGACAUCGUUGCCCGUGGUUGGAAGUCCGACAAUGGGUUUCGAGGUGGAUAUCUUACGAAGCUUGAAGAUGCAAUGCGAAGUCGGUUUCCAAAGACUGAUAUUAAGGGCUCUCCGCACAUCACCUCAAAACUUACAGCUUGGAAAAGGUGGUAUGGGUCGUUGGCUCUUAUUCUGAAUAGAAGUGGGGUAGGAGAUUACCUCUAUUAAUUGGAACAACAAAUUUUCAAAUCAUGUUUAUGAAGCAAAUUACAAAGUAUGAGAUUGUUGACUGCAAGCUGCAACUAUUACCACUCCUGUCUAUUCAAGAACACCAAUAUACAACAACCUUAUUUACAAUCAAAGGCCAAAACCAAAUACUCCUAUCUGUUACAUAAAAGUCCAUUAAAGACUAUGAUUCAUUAUUGUAAUAGAUGAUUCUUCCAAGUCAA